rnacentral:rRNA from 1 species
AGCCUGAACGCUGGCGGCGUGGCUAAGACAUGCAAGUCGCACGGUGUAGCAAUACACAGUGGCGAACGGGAGAGUAAUGAAUCGCUAAUGUACCCCGGACUCUGGGAUAGCUACCCGAAAGGGUAGGUAAUACCAGAUGAUAUAACUUAUAGGCAUCUAUGAGUUCUCAAAGGUCCGCCGGUCUGGGAGCAGGCGAUUUCGAUCAGCUAGUUGGUGAGGUAACGGCUCACCAAGGCGACGACGCGUAGCCGGACUGAGAGGUUGGCCGGCCUCAUUGGGACUGAGACACUGCCCAGACUCCGUACGGGGGGCUGGCAGUAACGAAUCUUCCGCAAUGCACGAAAGUGUGACGGAGCGACGCCGCGUGUGGACGAAGCCCGUUCGGGGUGUAAACCACGUGUCAGGGUUACCAAGUUCUGAGAGCCCCAGAGGAAGGCACGCUAACUCUGUGCCAGCAGCCGC